rnacentral:lncRNA from 1 species
CUGGGCAGGGAGACUCGGGACCCCGUGGGCGCGCUCCUGGGAGAGCUGCUCCCCUGCAAGUUCCGCAAGUUUCUGUCCCAACUGCGGGCCAAGUGUGCGGAGGAGGAGCCGGAGCCGGAGCCGCAGGCACAGGGUGAAGCUCACCGAAGAGCAGAAGCGGGGUGGGGAGGCCGUCCCUCCUGGGGCUGCUCUGCCCUGCCCUUGCAGGUCGGUAGAGGCGCCGGAGUGAGGGCGCCCCCAGCCCCCAGCUCCUCCUCCUCCUGGCCCCCAGCGCCCUCAGCAUCUCGACAUCAAAGUGGGGCGUCCGAGCCCUGGCGGCGUUCUCCGGGGUGUCCCAGCUGCCAGUUCCUCCCAGACCUGCAGGACCAGUUGUCCGGCUUCCAGGAGAGACUGGAGAAGAUUUUGCACCAGCGGACAUCUUCCCUGGGACAACUGAGUGGUGACCACUCACAAUUCCCCACAGUCAGAAAGGCCAGCUCGUUCUGUGGCACACCAGCCCCCGAGGCCAUGCCCACCCCUACCCCCUCCGGGGAAGGCUUGGGGCCCCGCAGGCACAGCUGCCCUUUCCAGGUACGGCUUGCUGAUGAGAUGCUCACGGACAGCGCUCUCUGCUACUGGGAACACAGCUGUGCAGGCAGGUGCUGUGCUGCUGAGCUACAUUCCCGCCCAUGCAAAGGGGUCUUAUGCAGGUGACAUGAAGCCAGGAACAAAAAGAAGCCAGGUGACCCCCCACCAGAAGGACAGGGCCAGCCUGGGAGAGACUCUCAUGCUGUGGCAGCAGGUCCAGCAGAGCAGGAUGUCCCCCCUGCCAGCGGAGUCGGUGUCCAAGCCGGGCCUCAGGAGCCUCGGGAGGUGGCUGGACAGUUUGCCCAGGUCUGGGUACCUCCGGGCCAAGGAGGACGCCAUGGCCAGCUCCUCGCGCUGGGCCCAACCUGGCCUGUGAGGCCCCAAGCCCUGUGUGCCUCCCUGACCCCGGGCAUGGGACCCAGGGUUCUUGAAGUUCACAGGCUCCUGUCUCCCCAGGCCUUCCCGGGAGCCGCUGGGCUACCUCUCCAAGGGCGCCUCUCUAAAGGGCAGCCUGCCCUUCAUCCCCAGGGCCACUGCCCGGUGGCCAUGGAGGAACCUGCAGGGGCUCCCGGACACCUGCAGCUUCCUGGAGCAGUUGGGUAGUUGCUCCUGGAGCCAGAAGCCAGUGAGCACCCCACGCAGCCGGUCAUGGGCCUGGCAGGGGGUGGGCUGGGGGGCUGCAGGGGCCAGACCUCCAAGUCUGGUGUGGUGGUGCAUACCUGUGAUCUCAGCACGCUGGGGGCUGAGGCAGGAGGAUCUCCACGAGUUCAUGACCAGCCUGGGCUAUAGUUCAAGACCAGCCAGAACUGCAUAGGGAGGCCCUAUCUCAAAAUAAAAAAACAAACAGAAUGGGCCUGCAGCUGUACCACCCACUAGACUGGAGCAGAAGCACGGGUAUGGGCAGUGCUCUGUCUCUUCCAAGGUCCCCAGCAGUGACCAGCUUCCUCCCCUCCCUAGGAACCCUUUCUGCCCAGCCUGGUGCUCCAGUCCAUCCUGAAGCACAGCUGCCCUAAGGGCUACUAGCUCCUCCUGCCUUCCCAAAUGCCUGUGGGAGCCCCAGCUGAGGGCUGCGUGCAGGCCGGGGCAUGAGGAGUGUCCUGCCUCAGCCUGCAAAUAAAGGCACAUCCCUGAUGGCUAGGAUGUGCUGUUAGGUCUCACGGUACUGUACAAGCCUGUUUCGUGCCUGCUUUGGGAGUCUCUCGGGUUCCUGAGCUGGAGGAGGAACAAGGUAGAAUUAUAGCUGGGACCAGGGUGAGGGCCAGGACCGCCCCUCGGGUUUGAGACCCUGGACAACCCCAGACCUGGCACCCGGCCUCUGUCCACCCAGUUCAGCCCAUACCUGAAGGAGGCACCUGAAAUGCAGGGAGCCCCCACCCCUGCCACUGGCCCCCUCCCCGCUGUCCAUGGCGUAGUCCCCGGCUGCUGAUCCAGCUCUUUGUCGCCACCUCCUGGCCAGGGAGGACACAGCCAGGGAAUCCACCGCGGGCACCUGGCUCAGUGGGAACCUGGCUCAGUGGGUCGCUGGGCGGCUGGGGCUGGACAGAGGUUGGUGGUGACCUUGGGCCGUGGAGGACGGAGGCUUUUUUUGGAGGGGCGCCCUGGCUCCAGAAGAAAGGCAGUGGGUAGAUUAGAAACGGUUCGGGCAAAGCCAGCUUGGAGAGGGUUGGGAACGGCGCUGCAGCCGCCCUGGCAGGCGCGCACGGGGCCCGGAGCGGGAUCGGUCCCCCGCCACCUCCACCCCGCCCCUUGGC